rnacentral:rRNA from 1 species
UACGUAGGGGCCUAGCGUUGUCCGGAUUUAUUGGGCGUAAAGAGCUCGUAGGCGGUUUGGUUAGUCAGGUGUGAAAUCUCCACGCUCAACGUGGAGGGGCCACCUGAUACUGCCAUGACUUGAGUCCGGUAGGGGAGUGUGGAAUUCCCGGUGUAGAGGUGAAAUUCGUAGAUAUCGGGAGGAACACCGGUGGCGAAGGCGGCGACCUGGGACGAUACUGACGCUGAGACGCGAAAGCGUGGGGAGCGAACAGG